rnacentral:rRNA from 1 species
CCUACGGGAGGCUGCAGUGGGGAAUAUUGGACAAUGGGCGAAAGCCUGAUCCAGCCAUGCCGCGUGUGUGAAGAAGGCCUUCGGGUUGUAAAGCACUUUCAGUGGGGAAGAAAGCCUUGGGGCUAAUACCCUCGAGGAAGGACAUCACCCACAGAAGAAGCACCGGCUAACUCCGUGCCAGCAGCCGCGGUAAUACGGAGGGUGCGAGCGUUAAUCGGAAUUACUGGGCGUAAAGCGCGCGUAGGCGGUCUGAUAAGCCGGUUGUGAAAGCCCCGGGCUCAACCUGGGAACGGCAUCCGGAACUGUCAGGCUAGAGUGCAGGAGAGGAAGGUAGAAUUCCCGGUGUAGCGGUGAAAUGCGUAGAGAUCGGGAGGAAUACCAGUGGCGAAGGCGGCCUUCUGGACUGACACUGACGCUGAGGUGCGAAAGCGUGGGUAGCAAACAGGAUUAGAUACCCGAGUAGUUC